CUUCAGCGAGCCCAGCAGGAGCGGCUGUUCGGCCGGGCGGUUCUGCCCGUACGUGGCGAGGAGUGCCUGGGCCUC
rnacentral:antisense_RNA from 1 species